rnacentral:rRNA from 1 species
UACGAAGGGAGCUAGCGUUGUUCGGAAUCACUGGGCAUAAAGCGCACGUAGGCCGUCUACUAAGUCCGAUGUGAAAUCCCCCGGCUCAACCGGGGAACUGCAUCGGAUACUGGUGGACUCGAGAGUUGUAGGGGUGGACGGAACUCCAGGUGGAGCGGUGAAAUGCGUAGAUAUCUGGAGGAACACCGGAGGCGAAAGCGGUCCACUGGGCAACUUCUGACGCUGAGGUGCGAAAGCUAGGGUAGCAAACGGG